CUCAGCACAAUCCAGAAGGACAGCCUGGACACCAGCAGAGGCAGACAAGGUUCCAGCCCCUCGCUGUCUGCUCAGCUGGACCCAGUCGCCCAGAUGCAGGGACAGCAAUUUCUCCUGACACAGCCCAGGCAGCUGGGAAAGUCGGCUCGUGGUAAGCAGAAAAGAGCCAGGACUCGUGGCCUAAUGAAGUCAUAGCAGAGCCUUGCUCAAUUUCUGUCCUCUCUGUGCAACACACUAAAUCCUUUCUAGGACUCGGUUUCUCCUCUGAUUAGGACCUGAACCGAUGUGUGCAUUCAUUUGCCCUUCGUGGGGCAUCUAUCAAAUGUCAGGCCUGCAGUGAGCAUCCCGGAGUCAGGGAUCCUUGUCCCCAGGCUUGGGAAAUGCUCCGCCUAGCCGGAAGUGGCCCAGCCGGCCUCCUCGCAGCGCAGUCGGUGGACUAAAGCUCUAGGAAGCUGCUCUGCGGGGCGGGCGGGCUUAGCAUCCCUUGGCAUCUGCGAAGCGGCCGAAGCCCAGAAGGGGGCAGCAGAGAGCACACCGCCAGCCUCCAGGACUGCGGCCCAGCAAGAGCAAGCCCAUGACCUUGGCAAUCCCGGAACCGAGGCUGGGGAUUUUCAGCCUCGCAGUUGUCAGGGAAAAGUUUCACAAGUGUCUCUGUCACAUCAGCAUUCUGUCGGCGCUGAGCCCCCAGGCGGACCUCUCCCAUCCCAUCCUCCACACUCCAGUCCUUGCAGGGCUGGUCUAUGCAAUGCCCUGGUGGGAGGAGCCGUCCCUGGGCAGCACCCGGCUGGCCAAAGGCAGCAACAACCAUCUGCAACCAGGGCAGCACGGCAGGGGGACUGAGGAAGGACCGCAGGUCCCCUUCCCCUUAGAAGUCAUCAGGCAAGGCAGGCGCCCCCCAACCUGGCGCACGGAUUCACACACACACACACACACACACACACACAUACGUGCUCUAGCACUAACAGUUGUACCCACACUACAUUCAUGCUCACUUUCAUACCAACACAGUAAUGCACACGCAUUUCCACACAGCUUGACGCUUGCACUCUCAUUGUGGACGCACUACUCAUUUGCAUUCAUGCUCUCAAAAAUACACUAACACACCCACUUUCUACACAACUCUUCACACACACUCAUACAUGCACACACACCCAUUCAUGCGCACAGGCAUGAGGGCCUUCCCAGAGGUGAGCAGGUGGGGCCCGUGGGUGGGCACCCGUUGGCUCCAUUCCUCCUACUGGGUUCCAGAGAUAAUCCCAGUUCUCAGGAUCCGUGAUGUUCCUCCCACCCAUUUCCAAAAAGGAUUUGAGAUGGUUUAGAAGGUUAAAUCCCUAAAUGAAGCAGGAUGAUUUACAAAGAAGGAGAAGAAGAGGGUAGAAACUUUAAAAAGUAUAAGCCUGCAUUCUGCAGGCCUGGGGCCUUAGUACUCCUAAAGGAAAGGCGUAAGGAUCCAGGGGUCGGUGAUUUCAGGGCUCCGCCCCAGGCUGCGUUUUCCUGACUGUAACUGCGGCCCUUGUGCACCCUCCCCGACCCUCAGCUUAUCCCAAGGAGAGCUGAGAGAGGGCUCCUGCCUGCUGCCCAUGGCCAGAGGGAUCAGGGCAGCCAGACUCAGCUCUCCCUCCCCUCCCAAAGGCGGCUGGGCUGUGGGAUCCUUCAACAACUACCCACACCCAGCAGGCUGCUGAGCUGAGACCUGGACUCUGGUCUCCCUGAUCCCUCUAGGUGAAUUCCUGGCCACCCAGCUCCUCCCGUGCUGAAGCUGAAGCAGAGUUCCUCUCCUUGAUGUCCUGGAGUCUAGUCUCAUCUGACCCUCAGUCCCAACACUUUACACCACCAUUUCUCAGUGAGGACCUCAUUUGAAUAAGACACCCAGUGACCCAUCCUGAUGUUCCAGUUUCUUGUGUGGAUGUAUCAGUCGGUUUUUAUGCCGGACAGAUCAAGCAGCAACCUUAUUUCUCAUGAUUCUGUGGCCUGGCUGGGCUAUCUGUGAAAUUCUUCUGCCCAGGGUCAGCUGGGACCAUGCAGGCAAAUGUACUCAGCUGGGAGCUUGGCUGGGGCUAGAAUGUCCACCAUGGCUUCCUUCAUGUAUCUAGUAUCUCCACUGUGGGGGCUGGAGCAUCUGGGGCUGCCUGUCCUCCUGUUUCACUUGGUCUCUCCAGCAGACUAGCCCAAUUUCUUUACCUGGCAAUCCUGGGCUCUUGGAGAGCAAAAGCAGAACCUACUAAGUCUCAGCCUGGAAAUGGCACAACAUUGCCUCAGCCACAUUCUAUGGGUCAAAGCAACCUAUAAAGCAAGCCCCAAUUCAUGAGGUAAGGAGGCACAGCACAGAUGCACAGGGAUGAGAGGAAUCAUCUGGAGACUCUUCUACAGAAACUCCAACAUAGUGGGCAUGCUCAUUAGAUUCUCAGCAUGCUUCCUGUGGGAAACAGGCAGGCAUAUUAGGCACCUGGGAUGACAGCAUUCUUAAUCACAAAAUUAUUUUCUCCUCUUCCAGGAAGAAUUGCAUCUUGGCUAGUGUAUUAUUGGGGACUUUUAAAUUUACAAGUGAUGAAAACUCAGCUCAAACUGAGUUCAGCAAAGAGAGAGAGAGAGAAUUAUUGACUCAUACACGGGAAAUUCAGGGAUAUUCCCAUUUCAGGCAUGGCUGGAUCCAGAGGCCUACAUAAUGUCAUAAUCAAGAAUGUGUCACAAUCUUCAUUCUCUGCUCUGCUACUUCUUGGUUGACCCUGUUCCUUCAUUCUCAAGCAAAUUGUUUCUACAAAAUAUAAAGAUGGCCAAAUGUGCUCAUUCAUCACCCAAUGAAGAAUAUUUAUUUCUCCCAAAUAAUUUCAGCAAAAGUCCAAAGACUAUCUCACAAUGGCCCACACUGGACCAUGAUCCAAUCCUGGAUUCAGUCACUGACUCAUUAGCUAGGCCUGGACAUUAUGCCUACCACCUGGAGAAGAAAGCGUUGGGUCAGCCCGCCAGAACCACAGGCAGAAGAAAAGUAGGUGAUGUUACCAUGUCCAGGUGCACUCGGUCAGCAUGGAGAAAGGAGCAAGCAUCUCUUCAAGCCUUCCCUGCUUUCUCUCCUCAGUCUCAGAUGGCUUCCUGGCCCAUUUCACUCAGAUAUGAGUUUAGAAUCCAGGACAAGUGUUUAGAUCUGCCCCACUGUAGUAAAGACUUGAGAAUGCCAAACUCAUGGACUAGUAGAGCUGAAAGAUAUUAAAAAUAUAACCUAUUUGGGCUGGGGAUGUGGCUCAAGCGGUAGCGCGCUCGCCUGGCAUGCGUGCGGCCCGGGUUUGAUCCACAGCACCACAUACAAAGAUGUUGUGUCUGCC
rnacentral:lncRNA from 1 species